rnacentral:rRNA from 1 species
AUUGAACGCUGGCGGCAUGCCUUACACAUGCAAGUCGAACGGUAGCGGGCCUUCGGGUGCCGACGAGUGGCGAACGGGUGAGUAAUGUAUCGGAACGUACCUUUCAGGGGGGGAUAACGUAGCGAAAGUUACGCUAAUACCGCAUGUUCUGUGCGCAGGAAAGCAGGGGAUCGCAAGACCUUGCGCUGAUUGAGCGGCCGAUAUCAGAUUAGCUAGUUGGUGAGGUAAAGGCUCACCAAGGCGACGAUCUGUAGCGGGUCUGAGAGGAUGAUCCGCCACACUGGAACUUAGACACGGUCCAGACUCCUACGGGAGGCAGCAGUGGGGAAUUUUGGACAAUGGGGGCAACCCUGAUCCAGCCAUGCCGCGUGAGUGAAGAAGGCCUUCGGGUUGUAAAGCUCUUUCGGCCGGGAAGAAAUCGCAUCAGCUAAUACCUGGUGUGGAUGACGGUACCGGAAUAAGAAGCACCGGCUAACUACGUGCCAGCCGCCGCCGAAGAC